AUGGGGUCGGUUGACACUUCUGAUAUGAUGACUAGCUCAUUGGGCUGUAUAAGAAAAUCAAAAAAAUGGCAUAAAAAGCUUGGGUUUCACAUAUUUGACAUGUUUUUACUUAAUGCAUUCUAUUUGAUUAAAGUGAUUAAAAAUAAACAAAAUUAUAGUUUAGCUGAUUUCCAAUUAAACGUUAUCAGACAAAUAAUAGAAAAAUACAAACAAUGUUCUUUAACUCAACAGUCAACUUCGCGCGGCGUCCUUGACCCUAACCGUUUUUUACAUAAUAGUGCCUUAGAGCAUUUUCCUGUUAGAAUACUAACCGGCAAAAGUCAGCGAUGCAAAAUGUGCGCAGCAAAAAGAAAACGGUCUGAGACUCGUUUUAUGUGCCAAAAAUGCAAAGUUUAUCUCUGCAUAGAUCCAUGUGCUGUUGAGUACCACAAUUCUACAAAACAAUCGGUAUCGUAAUCCCACAUCACUAUUUUUGCGUUUAGUCUAUUAUGUCUAUGGUCAGCUAGACGUUGUCGAUACUCGACAAUAUCCAUUAUUCCGUAUUCGACAGUGACGACUGUUAGUGGCACGACGUUUGUAAAAUCAAGUGAACAUUUUACAAUUUUUUAAUAUCAAGAUGGGGUCCAAAAGGAAGUUUGAAGAGAGCCAGUCAAUUUUGGCUCCCUUUGACUAUAGCCAAGAUAAAGUAGACAUAGACUGUAGCCAAGAUGUUAACCUUCCAUCAACGCUGACCAACGACGAGUAUAUGGUUUAUUUAAAUGAGGGUCAGUCGCAUUUAAGAAGUUCUGAUAGUACGCCAGAUUUAUAUAGAUCUACGGCGACACAAACUUUAGUCAAAACAACAAAUGCAAGUACACAAUACGAGCAAAUUGAUAAUCCAAUCAAAGAAAGUGCCAAAAUUUUAGUGGACAGUUAUUUUGUUGGCGAUGAAACUCGUAAAAAUAAGUUUAUCGAAUGUUACACAAAUGUGGUCUCGUCAAUAAUUCGCCUCGUCGAUAGCGAGCAUAAAUAAUUUUUCGACGGAUCAUACUAUUAUUGAAAAAUCUUACCUCUGAUUGUUAGACUGAUUUUAGUAAUAAGAAAUUAUAUCUGUGAUUAUUUGACUGAUUUUAUUGAAAUUAGUGUUAUACAAAUUUUAUUGUGAUUGUGAUAUAUCGUUACAUCUAAGUCAAUAGGUAAACUGAUAAUGACAUUGUCAAGUAAAAUUUUUAUUUUUAUGUUUGUUGUUAAUUAGUGUGAUACAAAUUAUUGUGAUUGUGAUAAAUAUCGUUACAGAUAGUUCAAUUCAUCUGUGCACGAAGCGCCAUGUGUGCGUGCGCUUAUUUAUACAGCUUUCAUUUGUGUGGCAGCGUAAGCGGCAGUCGUCGUCCGAGCAAAACGUGUCCUUACCACUUUACCCACACAUAGCGCCGCGCGCACAGAUGAGUUGAAUUAUCUACAGGGUUAUUGGUAAAUCAUUAACAACCUCUUAAGAGGUUGUACUCAUCAUUAUGAACAACUUUUACUAUGGGACCAAACCUAAAAUCGUGAAAAAAAAAUCAGCUGUUCCCUACAUUUAUGUUCGUAUAACUCGCCAAACUCUUCUCUGGACUGAUUUUAUUGUGAAUAGUUUAAGUAAUAAUUAAUAAAUCGUUCAAAUUUUUAAACA